GUAGCAUAAUCAAGAUUCACA
rnacentral:miRNA from 1 species